rnacentral:rRNA from 1 species
GACGUAGGGCGCGAGCGUUGUCCGGAUUUAUUGGGCGUAAAGAGCUCGUAGGCGGCUUGUCGCGUCGACUGUGAAAACUCGGGGCUCAACUCCGAGCUUGCAGUCGAUACGGGCAGGCUAGAGUUCGGUAGGGGAGACUGGAAUUCCUGGUGUAGCGGUGGAAUGCGCAGAUAUCAGGAGGAACACCGGUGGCGAAGGCGGGUCUCUGGGCAGUAACUGACGCUGAGGAGCGAAAGCGUGGGGAGCGAACAGG